rnacentral:rRNA from 1 species
UACGUAGGGUGCAAGCGUUAAUCGGAAUUACUGGGCGUAAAGCGUGCGCAGGCGGUGAUGUAAGACAGGUGUGAAAUCCCCGGGCUUAACCUGGGAACUGCAUUUGUGACUGCAUCGCUGGAGUGCGGCAGAGGGGGGAUGGAAUUCCGCGUGUAGCAGUGAAAUGCGUAGAUAUGCGGAGGAACACCGAUGGCGAAGGCAAUCCCCUGGGCCUGCACUGACGCUCAGGUGCGAAAGCUAGGGGAGCGAACAGG